ACCCAGCAGAGCUGAAACCGAGACACAGGGAGAGGCCAGCGGGAGAUUAGAAUGUUACACAUGGUCAGCAAAUGUGCAAGAAUGUUGGCGGCAGCACCAUUUGCAGUGGUCCGGAACUGGAAUAGAGCGUCCAUCAGAGUUGAAUGGAUAUGCAAACUGAGGCGAGUCACACAAUGGAAUAUUCCACAAAAUUGACAAGAUGAUCCUAAAACUCAUACGGAAUUGCAAGGGAUCCCAAGUGAUGAAAAUAAUCUUGAAAAAGAACUAAGUUGGAGAACUCACACUUCCCAACUUCAAAGCUAAUUAUAAAACUACAGUAAUCAAGACAAUGUGUGCUGGCAUUAAGGAUAGACAUAUAGAUCAAAAGAACAAAAUUGAGAAUAAAAAAAUCAAGCCUUACCUUUAUGGUCAACUGGUUUCAACAAGGAUGCAAAGGCCAUUCAAUAGGGGAAAAAAGUCUUUCAUCAAGUGAUGCUAGAACAACAGGAUAUCCACAUGCACACCACACACAAAAAUCAACUUAAAAUGGGUCUUGGACCUAAAUGUAAGAGUUGCAACUAUAAAACUCUCAGAAGAAAACAGGAGUAAGCCUUUGGGACCUUGGGUAAAAGCCUUCUUAGAUAUAACACCAAAAGCACAAAUGGCAAAAUUAAAAAUAGAUAAAAUGGACUUCAUCACAAUUAAAGUCUUCUGUGUUUUAAACAAUAUCAUCAAGAAAGUGAAAAGACAACCCAAAAGUGGGAGAAAAUAUUUGCAAGUCACAUAUUUUAUAAGGGGUUUGUAUCCAGAAUACAUAAAGACCUCUUACAACUUAUGUACCCAAUAAAAAGACAACUCGAUUUAAAAAUGGGCUAACAAUCUGAACAGACAUUUUCCCAAAGAUACACAAGUGGCCAAUAAGCACAUGAAAAGAUGUUUAGCAUCAUUAGUCAUUAAGGAAGUUAUAAUUAAAAUUAUAUUAAGAUAACACUUCAUGCCCACUAGAAUGGCUAUAAUAAAAAAGAGAGACAAUAUUAAGUGUUGGAGAGGAUGUAGAGAAAAUGGAAAUCCUACUUUGCUAGUGGGAAUGUAACAUGGUGCAAUGACUUUGGAAAACAGUUUGGCAGUCUCUCAAAAAGUUAAACAUAGAGUUACCUUAUAAUUUGGCAAUUCCACUUCUAGGUAUAUACCCAAGAGAAAUUAAAACUUUCAUCUAAGCCAAAACAUGUAUGUAAAUGUUCACAGCUGCAUUAUUCACAAUAGCUUAAAAGUGGAAACAACCCAAAUGUCCAUCAAUUGUUGAAUGGAUCAAUAAAAUGUAUUAUAUCCAUAUAAUGGAAUAUUAUCUGGCAAUAAAAAGGAAUGAAAUUCUGAUGUAUUCAGUUCUGGUGCAUUCUGAUGCUACAACAUGGAGGAACCUUGAAAUGCCAAAUGAAAGAAGCCAGUCACAAAGACCACAUUAUCGUAUGAUUCUAUUUAUACGAAAUUUCCAGAAUAGAAUAU